AACCGUGGACUGAACGAGAAAACAAGCCGUACCACCAAGCACCACGGUCCACGACGCCGGCGGCACACCGCCACCGCUCGAAAUCCCAGCAAGGUAGCGAGUGCCGCAAAUAAAUCGUCUCAACUAAAUCAGCGGCUUGGGUGCGAUGCUUGCGCUCAGAUUGGGUAUACUCUCGUCAGACCAUGCGUCCAUGCCCAACUCCUUGUGCAGGACUCGGCUCACCACCUGCUCGACGGAAUGCCUGGCUGGGCACGCCGCAUAAUAUUCAUUUAGUGGAUCAAGAUUUCCUCUCACUGUGCCCUCAAACAUGGUUGGAUCCUGUGGGAUGAUGCUAAGUCUGCCUCGUAAAUCAUGCAACCCGAUUUUGCUGAGAUCAACAUUAUCAAUUUCAAUUGUCCCUUGUCUCGGUUCAACAAUCCGGAAAAGCGCUUGAAUCAAGGUUGACUUUCCACUGCCAGUUACAGAUGACAACUGCCCGUUGAGGUUCAGUGCAUAAGUCACUGCAAGUCCCGCAAUGCCUGUGCAUACAAUUAUGUCAGUUUCACAGCCACCAAAAAUUAGUGAUCAGAGUAUAGACUGCAAAAAUGAAGCAACUAUAACUUGUCUGCAUGAAAAACUUACUUGGAUUUAUAAAACCUUCGGGAAGACUCACCAACAGAGUCAAAGAAAAGGCAAAGACAAAGUUAGAUAGCAUGUUUAGCCUGAAGCAAAGCCACUCCACAGCCGAGACAUUAUGAAACCAUGGUCGUAAGUGGUUGUUAACAAGGCUGAUGUUUGCUUUGCUGAAGCGGUCUUUCCGUCCAUAUGCUCUAAUACUUGCCGCUCCUGUAAGUGAUUCCGCAGAAUGGUGGAGUAUUGGAGCCCUUUGAAUUUGUUGCAGGCGAGCCAGCUCUCUUGCUGUUGGUAUGUAGUACCGCUGCAUGUCAUAGGGAGAAUAUUGGAUUCAGUGCUUUGUGAAAAAUCAUCAAGGAGGAAAUAUGCACUAAUGGCUUCCUGGAAAACAACGCGUACGGAAAUAACUUGAUGCAUACAUUGUACUUGGAUGAGUUAAAUCUAGUGCAAAAAUAUCACUGCAAGGAGCUCUUACUUGAAACACAUAACAGAUUGCUGUCACUGGAAUAAAGAUGACAAAAACUGGCCACGCAACCUGUGACAUAACGCCAAUGGUCCCCAGAAUUUGUAUAACAGAAAACGCGCACCAACCAAGGCUGUCUGCCAUUUUCAGAUCUAAGACACUUUGGUCAUUGGAGACCUGUUACAAAGUACAGUACAUAAUUAGUAAUUUCAAGGAGACAGUGUUAAAAAAAAGAGGGAAAUAGCAGGACUAGCCAGUGCAAAAUGAUGUGAGGAGUAAUCGAACACCAACCCUGUUUAGGAUCCUGCCAGUGGGUGUGGAAUCAAAGAAGGCCAUUGGAGCACGGAGGAUGCAAUGGAGCAUAUUCUUGAAGAACUUCUCCGCUGUUAGCAGGCCAACAAGCGAAACAAGCAUAGACCGACCAAAAACACAUAGUGCACUUCCUAUAGAUAGCACUAUGUAUACGAAGAAAAUAAGGCCUAAUCCAACCCUUGGGGUGGUUGCAGACGUUGGAGGACACGCCCAUGCCAUCCAAUAGUUGCCUGCGACCUGGAAUAUUUGGAAGAAUGACUGUGCUGCCACUAUUAUUGGUGCUAAUGCGCCACCAUGAACAGCCGUCAGGUAUGCCCAGUAGAUCGUCUUGCCAAUCCCUCCCUUUUCUCAUUCCUCAUCUUGUGUGAGCCUUCCUUUUUCAUUGAUAACUUGUGAGACAUCAUGUGCAGACUCUUGCUUCAAUAUGCCCUAAAUUUGAUCAUCAGUGUGGUUUUCUCUCUCAAACUCAUCAUCAAUAUCUGCUAACUUUUGGCUCUCUGUUGACAAAAUUCUGCUGGAACUCUCGGCAUUUAUUACAGACUCGGUUGCCUGGCUAUGGGUUCCGACUAUAUCUUCAAAUCCUAUGUUCUGUUGAAGGAGAUCAUCAAAUGUUCCUUUCUGCACAAUCUUCCCAUCCUGCAUCACCUAUUAUUUUGUACCCCUUUGGUUAUUUUACAUAUCUUAGCAGUGCUAACAUAUAUGUAUUAUUUGCGUGCGAAAACAUUUUUUUUUGUACUUACUAGUAUAAGAUCUGCGGCUGGAAGAAAUUCAACUUGAUGUGUCACAUACAAUAUUGUUUUGUCUUUAAGCAUCCCCAUGAGGCAAUCCUGCAUAAUAAUAUAGUAGCAUUCUAUUAGCAUUUAUGCAGACUGAUGCCUCUAAACCAUUGAAGAAUAAGUAAAACUGGUGAUAUUUAUCCUGUUUGAAUCAUAUGCAACUAAAUUUUGGAAAUAAAUUGUCAAGUUAACAGCAUACAAACAUUAUCACAUUUUAUGGGUUUAUGGACACUGAAUAAACAAACCUCGAAAAGUUGCCCUCCAGUGUGAGCAUCUACUGCACUGAAAGGAUCAUCGAAGAGGUAUAUAUCUGCAUCCUCGUACACUGACCUUGCAAUCUGAAUCCUCUGCUUCUGUCCACCACUCAUGUUAAUUCCUCUUUCUCCAAUCUCCGUCAAAUCGCCAUUUGCAAAUAGUUCAAUAUCUUUUGUCAAUGCACAAGCUUGUAUUACCUUUUGGUACUUUUCCCUGUCAUAUGGGUUUCCAAACAGAAUGUUGUCUCUGAUGUUCCCAGAUAGGAUCCAGGCAGUCUGAGGAACAUAUGCUCUGCUCCCACUGACCCUCACAGUCCCAGCUAGCUUAGGCAUCUCCCCAAGUAUGCAUGAUAAUAGACUAGAUUUCCCAGAGCCAACUACUCCACAGAUUGCUACUUUCUUCCCUCUCUUUACUUUUAAAUUUACAUCUGUUAUAGUUGGAGAUGUGGUCUCAGGUUCCCAGCUGAAUGCUCCAUGAUCAAUCUCCACAUCAUAGUCCGUGUCAUUCCUUGGUACUUCUGUAAUUGCGUCACAUUUCAACUCUUCUUCCUGGAGGUAUUGUGCUACUCGAUCUGCUGAAACUUUCCCCUGAGCAAACACCGAAAGUAAAUCAGGGAGUGUGAAGAUUGGAUCUUGUAGCAUCCGGAACGUUGCAAGAGCAGACAAAACAGUACCAGCUGUUAGAGGAAUCCCCAUCAAUAUACAUGUACCGAAUGUUAUGGAGGAUAUGAAUGCAGGGGACCCCCAAAAUAUGAAUGUUGUUAAAGCUGACAACCUUACAGAUUUCCACAACCAAUUGUGCUCCUCCCUUCGCAAAGCUUCUAGCUUUUGAAGGUACUCUGUAUCCCAUGCUUGAAGUUUCAGUAUUUUCAUGCUUCUAAGCACUUCCGUUGUUGCCUUCAUUCUGUUGUCUUUAGCAGCCAUGAUCUCUGAUUGCAACCUUUUCUGGAGUCUUGUCAGAGGAAUAUUGCAAGUCAUUAUUGCCAGUGUUGCUGCUAAACCAGCCCAUGCUCCAGCACCUAGGUUUAGAUGGAGAACAUAGACUGCUAGAGAAAGCUGUAUGGGUAACAUCCAAAUGUAGUUUGUGUACCACAUAACUUCGGUUAUCCUUUGUAUAUCUACACUCAUGUAGUUUAUGAUCUCUCCACUGGAAUGCUUCUGCCUUGCGCCACAGGAUAACCGGAGCCCCUUUUGAUAGAUGUGGGAUAUUAAAGCAGCUCCUAGCCGCAUCCCAAGCCUUUGAGCUCCAAAAAUCCACUGCCUCUCUGCUAUUGUCUCCACAACUUUGGCACUUAAAAAUGCAACAGCAAGAAGAUAACCUUUUUGCAGUCCAUUUUUCCUCUCUCCCCCAAGGAAUUUCACCAAGUCAUUAAUCAGUGAUGGUCCAACAUAGGAUGCACAUGCACACAGAAUUGCAAAUACUGCAUUGAGUAUUGCUUUUCUUCUAAUAAAUAGGAACAUUGCUCUAUAGAUUGAUAAAGUACUUAAACCAUGCCUGUGUUCAACAUCUGCUAGGAUCCUUUUAAAUGAAUCAGAGAGUAAAUCGGCAUAGUCCCUUUCAUCAAUAUCUGGCACAUCAUUCUUAUCUAGAGGUUUCUUAUAUCCGAUAACAAAUAGAGGAGUCAUCCAGGAGAACGUGACAAGGUCCAGAACGCUUGCUUUGCCAUACAGACUUGUUCUUUUGGUUUCUGUCUGCUGUCCUGCAGAUGGACUCAAUAGUGGCUCUGUUAUGCUGCUGUUUAUUAAGGUGAUUCCUGUUUUUCCUCUGACAGAAAUUGCAAACAGAUAAGUGCAGAUAACAAGUGUGAACAGGUCCAUCAAUUCCGCAAACCCCAUGUAUCCAUGAUCUGAUAAGAUUUUGUCUUCCGUAGACUGAAUACUGCUAGUGACAAUAUUAUCCAGGAGAGCACCUGUAUGCCUUCACCCAGAACAAAAGGAGUUGCAGUCUUCAAUCUCUGCCUGCACCAUCUAAUUCGCUUGAACAGAAACUGAGCCACGAUACUCGUGAUAAAUACCAACUGUAUCAAUACAGAAGUGCUCGUCCAGAAACAAGGACUUGAAAUUUGUCAGGACUUACUCGGCGAAUCAUGGAGCAAGCCCGCCGUGUGGGCGAGGAACAUCUCCUGCACCCUCCGGGGAAGAAGCGAAUGCAGGUGGCUCCUCCCUCCUUCCAUGGCGCAGUGAGGCCAAAUGCGAGGGAGAGACAGAGUUGAGAGGUGGCGAUCGACGGUGAAAUAUACUCCCUCCGUCCCAAAAUUCUUGUCUUAGAUUUGUCUAGAUACGGAUGUAUCUAAUACUAAAACGUGACUUGAUACAUCCGUAUUUAGACAAAUCUAAGACAAGAAUUUUGGGACGGAGGGAGUAUAUCGGAGGUGGAGCGACCAGAGGACCCGAUGGUGACGGCCACUUGGGCAGGUAAGGUUAGAGAGUGCAACAAAACAAAAUGCUGAGCAGAGAAUUCAAAAUCAAUCAACCAUAUCAAAUUAAGCUGAUCCAAGCACAUGACGUUGGACGCCACCUAACCUAACGCGGAUGAAUGACGUACGAGGCCUUGGCCGUGAUCAGGUCAGGUUAAAACUAAGCGAGAGCGAGGUGUGGCAAGCAGAUAAAAACGAACGUGUGUGCAAGAGCAAUGGAGUCUAGUCUCCUCAAUGAUUACACAAUAAUGCUUCCUGGUUUUCGUGUCACGUUCAGUGCCCUUUUUCUUUUGGAGAAGGGCGUUGUAUAAUAAGGACGGACGUAGUACCUUGGUUGCCACUCCAUCAACUCUUCGUGGUCAGUCAAUGCAUACUCUUUUUUCUGGAGCUUAUGGCUGUUCUGUAAGCAUUGUCUUUUCCUCUUGACCUGUACUUGCUGGCAAUCAAUGG